rnacentral:rRNA from 1 species
UACGAAGGGGGCUAGCGUUGCUCGGAAUUACUGGGCGUAAAGGGCGCGUAGGCGGACUGUUUAGUCAGAGGUGAAAGCCCAGGGCUCAACCUUGGAAUUGCCUUUGAUACUGGCAGUCUUGAGUACGGAAGAGGUAUGUGGAACUCCGAGUGUAGAGGUGAAAUUCGUAGAUAUUCGGAAGAACACCAGUGGCGAAGGCGACAUACUGGUCCGUUACUGACGCUGAGGCUCGAAAGCGUGGGGAGCAAACAGG